rnacentral:rRNA from 1 species
UGAACGCUGGCGGCGUGCCUAAUACAUGCAAGUCGAGCGAACGGACGAGAAGCUUGCUUCUCUGAUGUUAGCGGCGGACGGGUGAGUAACACGUGGAUAACCUACCUAUAAGACUGGGAUAACUUCGGGAAACCGGAGCUAAUACCGGAUAAUAUUUUGAACCGCAUGGUUCAAAAGUGAAGGACGGUCUUGCUGUCACUUAUAGAUGGAUCCGCGCUGCAUUAGCUAGUUGGUAAGGUAACGGCUUACCAAGGCAACGAUGCAUAGCCGACCUGAGAGGGUGAUCGGCCACACUGGAACUGAGACACGGUCCAGACUCCUACGGGAGGCAGCAGUAGGGAAUCUUCCGCAAUGGGCGAAAGCCUGACGGAGCAACGCCGCGUGAGUGAUGAAGGUCUUCGGAUCGUAAAACUCUGUUAUUAGGGAAGAACAUAUGUGUAAGUAACUGUGCACAUCUUGACGGUACCUAAUCAGAAAGCCACGGCUAACUACGUG